AUGCAAUUUGUACUUCCAUCUUCCGCAGACUUGCCCAACUUGACAUGUGCUUCUCAAAAGACACUCCUGACAAUUGUUCUGUCCAAUGCCGACCCACUGACCGUGCACUCCAUUAGGACUAGCUUCCAGGAGGGAACCGCCUCUUGCAACCCAACAUCAUGCCGCAUGUGGUUUAUUCCAGCUAUUCUCCCAGAUGGCUGGGUGGUUUAUGCAUUUGACAUGCUGCGCAAGCGAAUCAUCGUUUAUGAUCCUGCUGUUGGCCAAUUCGGAUACAGUAAUCACCGAGUCAGCAUGCAUGAAUUUGUGAGCAACAAACUUCAUGCUGCUCUGUUUAACUGCCUCUACAGUUUUUUCAGUUCAUGGCAUUGUGAAUCAACUCACUGGACACGUACAUUUCCAAUCAUAAUGAGAGAACAAUUUCACAAGGACGAAGCUGGAUUGUGUGCCACUUUUUUGAAGCAACUAUGA
rnacentral:rRNA from 1 species